UCUCUCUUGGUAUAUCGGUAGAACACCACCCUGUCAGGCUUCGGCGAAGUGCGGUGGAGAGCUGGGUUCGACUCCCAGAGGGAGAG